GAUGAACGCUGGCGGCGUGCCUAAUACAUGCAAGUCGAGCGAACGGACGAGAAGCUUGCUUCUCUGAUGUUAGCGGCGGACGGGUGAGUAACACGUGGAUAACCUACCUAUAAGACUGGGAUAACUUCGGGAAACCGGAGCUAAUACCGGAUAAUAUUUUGAACCGCAUGGUUCAAGAGUGAAAGACGGUCUUGCUGUCACUUAUAGAUGGAUCCGCGCUGCAUUAGCUGGUUGGUAAGGUAACGGCUUACAAAGGCAACGAUGCAUAGCCGACCUGAGAGGGUGAUCGGCCACACUGGAACUGAGACACGGUCCAGACUCCUACGGGAGGCAGCAGUAGGGAAUCUUCCGCAAUGGGCGAAAGCCUGACGGAGCAACGCCGCGUGAGUGAUGAAGGUCUUCGGAUCGUAAACCUCUGUUAUUAGGGAAGAACAUAUGUGUAAGUAACUGUGCACAUCUUGACGGUACCUAAUCAGAAAGCCACGGCUAACUACGUG
rnacentral:rRNA from 1 species